rnacentral:rRNA from 1 species
UACGGAGGGUGCAAGCGUUAUCCGGAUUCACUGGGUUUAAAGGGUGUGUAGGCGGGCUGUUAAGUCAGUGGUGAAAUCUCCAGGCUCAACCUGGAAACUGCCAUUGAUACUAUCAGUCUUGAAUUUUGUUGAGGUAGGCGGAAUACGUCAUGUAGCGGUGAAAUGCUUAGAUAUGACAUAGAACACCGAUUGCGAAGGCAGCUUACUAAGCAAAUAUUGACGCUGAGGCACGAAAGCGUGGGGAUCAAACAGG